rnacentral:rRNA from 1 species
CCUACGGGAGGCAGCAGUGAGGAAUAUUGGUCAAUGGACGAGAGUCUGAACCAGCCAAGUAGCGUGAAGGAUGACUGCCCUAUGGGUUGUAAACUUCUUUUAUAUGGGAAUAAAAUGUUCCACGUGUGGGAUUUUGUAUGUACUUUAUGAAUAAGGAUCGGCUAACUCCGUGCCAGCAGCCGCGGUAAUACGGAGGAUCCGAGCGUUAUCCGGAUUUAUUGGGUUUAAAGGGAGCGUAGAUGGGUUGUUAAGUCAGUUGUGAAAGUUUGCGGCUCAACCGUAAAAUUGCAAUUGAUACUGGCAGCCUUGAGUACAGUUGAGGUAGGCGGAAUUCGUGGUGUAGCGGUGAAAUGCUUAGAUAUCACGAAGAACUCCGAUUGCGAAGGCAGCCUACCAAACCGCCACUGACAUUGAUGCUCGAAAGUGUGGGUAUCAAACAGGAUUAGAUACCCCAGUAGUC